GCAGUGGUGGUUCAGUGGUAAAAUUCUUGCCUUCCAUUAGGGAGAGCCAGGUUCAAUCCCUGGCCGAUGCA
rnacentral:tRNA from 1 species